GAUAUCACAAGAUAUUACAAUAAUACCAACAUAACCUCAAAUCAUAACCUAAAAUUCAAAAAAAUGAGUUUUAUCAAAGUCAUCUUUGUUUUUGUUGUUGUUAUGGCUCUAUUCCAAGAUGUUUGGAUGAUGCCCCAACCUCAUGGCGGCGCUUUAAUCGACAUUUCUUCUGUUAUCGAAAAUCCACAAAUCCUCAACUGCCUCAAUAUCCUUGGAGAAUAUUGUUACACCUGUGAAGGGUGUUAAACAUCUCAAAAAUAUUUUGUUUCUUGUAAAUAUGCUUCUGCUGAAUGUAAAUAAAAUUAUUUGAGGUUA